CCACUGCAGCAAUGCAGUAUCCCUAGCUGAAUACAUAGGCUAGUGGAAGCGAACCGGGUGAACUGAAACAUCUCAGUAGCUCGAGGAAAAGAAAUCAACCGAGAUUCCGAAAGUAGUGGCGAGCGAAAUCGGAAGAGCCUUUACGUUUUAGCAUGCAAGAUAAUCGAAGGGGAUGGAAAGCCCCGCCGUAGCAGGUGAUAGCCCUGUAGAUGAAAUUUUGUGUGUGGAACUAAGCGUAAGACAAGUAGGGCGGGACACGUGAAAUCCUGUUUGAAGAUGGGGGGACCAUCCUCCAAGGCUAAAUACUCGUGAUCGACCGAUAGUGAACCAGUACCGUGAGGGAAAGGCGAAAAGAACCCCGGAAGGGGAGUGAAAUAGAUCCUGAAACCGUAUGCAUACAAACAGUAGGAGCCUCCUUGUGGGGUGACUGCGUACCUUUUGUAUAAUGGGUCAGCGACUUACAUUCAGUGGCAAGGUUAACCGAAUAGGGAAGCCGUAGCGAAAGCGAGUCCGAAUAGGGCGAUUCAGUCGCUGGGUGUAGACCCGAAACCAGAUGAUCUAUCCAUGGCCAGGUUGAAGGCACGGUAACACGUGCUGGAGGACCGAACCCACUAAUGUUGAAAAAUUAGGGGAUGAGCUGUGGAUAGGGGUGAAAGGCUAAACAAAUCUGGAAAUAGCUGGUUCUCUCCGAAAACUAUUUAGGUAGUGCCUCAAGUAUUACUGCGGGGGGUAGAGCACUGUUAUAGCUAGGGGGUCAUGGCGACUUACCAAACUAUGGCAAACUCCGAAUACCCUCAAGUACAGCUUGGGAGACAGAGCACCGGGUGCUAACGUCCGGACUCAAGAGGGAAACAACCCAGACCGCCAGCUAAGGUCCCGAAUUAUCGCUAAGUGGGAAACGAAGUGGGAAGGCAUAGACAGUCAGGAGGUUGGCUUAGAAGCAGCCAUCCUUUAAAGAAAGCGUAAUAGCUCACUGAUCGAGUCGUCCUGCGCGGAAGAUGUAACGGGGCUAAGCGAUAAACCGAAGCUGCGGGUGUGCACUUUUAGUGCACGCGGUAGGAGAGCGUUCUGUAAGCCUGCGAAGGUGGCUUGUAAAGGCUGCUGGAGGUAUCAGAAGUGCGAAUGCUGACAUGAGUAGCGAUAAAGGGGGUGAAAAGCCCCCUCGCCGUAAGUCCAAGGUUUCCUGCGCAACGUUCAUCGGCGCAGGGUGAGUCGGCCCCUAAGGCGAGGCAGAGAUGCGUAGCUGAUGGGAAACUGGUUAAUAUUCCAGUACCGUCGUACAGUGCGAUGGGGGGACGGAUCGCGGAAGAUCAUCAGGGUGUUGGAUGUCCCUGUUGCUGCAUCGAAGAUGGCGCUUAGGCAAAUCCGGGCGCGUAAAUCAAGGGUGUGGCACGAGCGAGCAUUGCUUGCGAAGUGAUUGGAAGUGGUUCCAAGAAAAGCCUCUAAGCUUCAGCUGUACGAGACCGUACCGCAAACCGACACAGGUGGACGGGAUGAAUAUUCCAAGGCGCUUGAGAGAACUCAGGAGAAGGAACUCGGCAAAUUGAUACCGUAACUUCGGGAGAAGGUAUACCCCGGUAGUGUGAAGCGCCUGCGCGCUUAGCAUGAUGGGGUCGCAGAGAAUCGGUGGCUGCGACUGUUUAUUAAAAACACAGCACUCUGCAAAGACGAAAGUCGACGUAUAGGGUGUGACGCCUGCCCGGUGCCGGAAGGUUAAGUGAUGGGGUGCAAGCUCUUGAUCGAAGCCCCGGUAAACGGCGGCCGUAACUAUAACGGUCCUAAGGUAGCGAAAUUCCUUGUCGGGUAAGUUCCGACCUGCACGAAUGGCGUAA
rnacentral:rRNA from 1 species